CCUUGUUAAAAAUAAUGUUCGUGCAUUCCCUUGCUGAGAAUGGUGAAGGGGAAGACUUUUAACAGAAAAUUGAGUUGUCUGCAUACCCAUAAAGGGGUCACAUGUGGAGGGGGGGGGGGGGGUUAUGUGCAUGCGUGCAUGAUUGUUUUCACUUGUAGUUAACGGUGCAAAGAAGGCCCUGUAUGUACAUUAUUCAAAUGUGCGCUUGAAUAACAUGCACCUAAUCUUUGUGGCAAGAACUCUGGCCUGCACGCAGAAAUUUGUUCUUUUGUUCUGCUUGCACGAGUGAUACGCAAACAGUGCAUUUUUACAUGCAAAUUUUCAGGUGACAUUUUUCAAAUGACCCAGUUGCCAUGCUAGUGGGAAAACAUUUCUGUCAAUGAUAUACUUUGCUUUUGCCAGCAUGCUAUUUGGGGUGAACGAGCAGUGGUAGCUGUAUUGGUGCUGCGCAGCUCGAGUUUUCUCAUCAAAUUUAAUCAAACUACACUGCACUUAAUCUACUGGAUGCGGAAGUUGCAUGUGCCAGUGACACAUUGUGCACGGUACGCACAGCUUGCUGCUCUGUGCUGGGCAGGCUUGAUGCCACCGAUAAAAAGGUGCAACUGAAGCAUCACUUAAAUUUUUAACCAAAAAUGGCACACAUUGGAAUCUAGUGUGUAAGGUAAGUUCUUCAUUGCUUUAAUCUUCACAUCUUCCAAGUUAAUAAUGAAUUGAGCAAUUGCGUAGCUAGUUAACAUAUGUCUGCCAUUUUUGGAGAACACAUUAUUGGGUGUUCAGCCAAAACAGUCUACAUACCUGCCAAGUCUCCCAGAUUAUCCGGAAGACUCCCGAAUUCUGAUCAUUUCUUCUGGUUGUAUGGUUGACAGAAAAAUCUUCUGGAAAUUGUAGUUGUGCCCGGUUUUUAUCCACGCUCUACGCUUUGUCUGACCACAUCGGCAACAAAUCUAAUCAAAUCGAGUUAGAAGUCCAUCGUGCAUAGCGUUGUUAUAGAAAGUAGUAGGGAAACCCUACAUGCAUUAUUUCUUUAACCUUUAUAAGACCGCAGCUCCACUCUUUACACCGAUGGGGUUGUUGGGUGCUAUAUUGGCCCUAGUCUUAUUCACGUAGCGAGCGAAUGCCGUGUUCCACAACUCGCAACACUAGAUCAGGCCCCGCACACUCUCAAGUUCAACAAAUAGCCACAAAGGGCGAGAAAAUCGACCAUGGUGCUGUUAAGAAAACAUAGUACCUCCACUCUAAAAUAUUCCCCCGUGAGCAAACUAUCUCCCUCACUUAUCAUGGCAUUUAUUUUCCUUGCAUGACAAAGAGUGCAAAAUUAUUAUUCUUAAUUAUGUAUAGUACUCUUGAGUACCAAGUCUGUUGUUUAGCUAUCAUAAACGCACAAUAAUGUUCAGCAUCAUCAACCUCCCACGUGACCUAUGCCCUCGCGGUUCAAAAUUUUACCGGUUUGCUGUGCAGCUUCCUGGUUCAAGGUUUCUUGGUUCAUGAGCUAAAGCCAGUCUUUUGCACUCUGAUUUCUCACAUUAUUCUGCUUGUUUGAAGUGACGCGUUCGGGAGCGGAGAAGUAGAGAUUUUCAGCCGGUGUGGGAUGCGGUCUUUAUCGUACAUGGAUCCGGAUUGCAACUGCUUCAACUCUGCUGAAGGGCAUGUCGGUGAGUUCUUGCUUGGACGUUACUGCUUGCGUAGCGGUUAGGCGGAAUGUAGUGUACAAAACAGCUUAGAAAAUUGAUGCGAGGUUCCUGAUACUUGCUACAACAGUGAGUACCAUGAACAACUCGCACCUGCAGAGGAAAUGAAAUCACUACAGACAAACUUGCGAAUCUUCAUUUCGUCAUUUUGUUGAUUUUGAAAGGUGACACCUUUCAUCGUGUAAUUGCCUGUAGGACCAGUUGUCAACAACUCGGCAGCAUGAAGAAAAAAUAAAGUACUGGUUUUCCUAGAAAUGCUUCUGUGAGUAGAGCCACCAGCCAGUUGCCACCUGCCUUGUGAAGCUUCAAUUCAUAGGUCUAUUGCAGUGUAGCUCAGUGAAAUAAAUCAAAACCUACCUGAAACCCGCAAAUUGUGUGCAUGCUGCCAUAACUGUAUUUCCUAUGAGUGACUGCCCGAUAACCUAGCUUGCUUCUCACUUUAUUAUUUAUCUUCAAAAGGGCAGCCGUGGGCACUUAUUCUUGCAUUAGAGUAGAAUAUUCGCAGCAUCAGACAAAUAUUGCUGUGAUGCCAGUAGUAAUUACUAUUCCUGUCUAACUGAGGUCACUGCUAUGUUCUUUCAGUGAUCAGCGAGUGCCUUUGCAUCCUGGCAAUUUGCAACCUGGCAACUAACGUCACGUGUAUGCAAAGCUUCAAUUUUGUCAACAGCAGCAAGAAAGAAUUCUCCAGUAAAGUGCUGCAGCAAGUGCAUGAACCCAAGCAAGGCACAAGCUUAAGGAGGGCAUGAUCAAUGUAAAGCUACAGACUGCAAGCAUGAAAAAGAAGCUUGGCUGUCACCACAGGGUUACCAUCUGUUCUCCAGCUGCGACCCCAUGGCUACAAUGUUUGCUUUUAAUUUAAAGAUGUUUGACGUGCACCUCGAGAGUGCAUUAUCUCUCAUGCCUGUCAGGUGUUGAUAGUUAGAGCUAUAAGUACUUGUUUCCAUGCAGUGUUCGGAAUAUUCAGUUUUAAAUAGCUGGGAAGGUUUCCCUAAUUUUUUCUGAAAUUCACAUUUAACUGAGAAAGAUCUGCUUUAGUGUGCAACAGUAAAACAAGGUCGCGAGUUGUGCAAGGUUAUCUCAUGGGAACAAUGUGCAUUUAAAGGGGUCCUGAACCACUUUUUAUUGAAGUGGAGGAAUGAAUGCAUUUGAAGUUAAAAUAUGCUCUUUCAGAAGUACUUUGGCGCAAAACGUACUUCAAUGAGUUCAGCAGAAGUGGAGUUAUUGGCAAUCAGACACCCCCUUCGCAGUGCCUCCACUCCUUCAAUGCUUUGCACUGCGAAGGCUACGGCGGAGCGGGGCGUGCUCACAACGCUCUGCCUACUGAUUGUCACCGUGGCGCACAGUUCAAAUUUGAUUUUGGGUGUUCUCAUAGAAGCUCAAAUGCUCUUUCAAAUGCUCUCUUUUCAACAGAAGCCUGCUCCUCACUUUUUUCUGGACACUUCAUUUCGCAAUAUCCGAUUUUGGCGUCUGUGACACGAUUAAUGUAAGCCAAACGUGGUUGUCCUCAGUGAGCCACAGUGCGCUCAGCCAGCAGACUCAUCGCGACAGUCGCGGCAUCUACGUUAUGUAGCAGACCUCAGCUACAUACAACUGUAGUGCGUCUGCACAGCAUUUGCUUUGUACACUACAGGGCUUGAGUGCGUGCUCGCACUCACAUGCUCCAGUCUGGCUGUGCUAUGUGGUGUGGACCAUCUUUGUCCUGCGCCAGUUUAACCGACUGAUAGUAGCCACAUCCAACUUGUGCAUUUUGUAGCGCUAUCAAUAGCUCAAUGUGAAGCGAAGUCUGCUGCCAAGGCUGCUAACGAGGAGUGUGAGCACGCUGGCAAGCGUGUGUGUGGUCUGACCUUAAGUGUGUGUGGUUCGAGGCUAGUUGAGUUCAAAGUUAGUCGAAAUUAGCAAGACCCAACGGCUACAACACCGAUGAGCAGGGUGGUCAAAGUUCAAUUCCUACGUGGGCGGCCGAGCGUGAGCAGACAAGUCUGCUUCUUCCGGAAGUCCGUAAUUAUAUGAUCGAAAUUCGAAAACAGAUUCUCGCUUACUUCAGCCUGUUUAUUAAACUUCGUCAAUAAAUAUACACAGUAACAAUAGGAAGAAGCGCACUGAUCUAAACGGCCUCUUGAUUGAUGUCAGCUAUUUGCCAAUAGCAGCCGCGUAUGGAAAUCUGCUAUAUUGCGAAAUAGUGUCCAGAAAAAAGUGAGGAGCAGGCUUCUGUUGAAAAGAGAGCAUUUGAGAGAAUGGUGACUCAGCGCUCUGCUUGCGUGCUCCACGUGCUGCGCACGACUGCAAAACUUGGCUGAGCUGUUCACAGCAGCGUGUGCUAUCUGCCGACUAUAUUUCUUCACCAAGCCCGAGGGGUGGUUCAUGACCCUUUUAAUAUGGCACAGAGUUGGCAAAUGAAGCAUGAAAAUCGCACCUGUGUAUUCUGUUGUCACAAAGUGUUCAUGCUGGGGACAAAAUGGAGUGAAAUUAUGGCUUAACAUUCAAGGUUAGUGUUAGACCAAUCAUUUUACGAAAAGGUACCAGAUAUUUACGUGCCCAGUAUAGCUUAUCAUGCAUUGGUACCCAUGACUGUGAUUAACACGUUGCUGCUCGAGAGUGCUUGUCUCUGAAUGUCUAGUUACAUAGACUUAGUUUGUGGCUUGUGUUUAGUAUGCUCUCAUAUUGCAUGUGAUAGCAAUGCCCUACCAUGUUUCUUGUGCAACUUGAGUUAUAAAAGAGAUCACUGGUCGAAGACUGACACUGCAACAAAUAAAUUGUUAUUAACCAGCAGAGAACAUUGGUUUCCCUUCUUAUAGAAAACAGAUAGUGAAAACUACUGACAAAGCUUUAUGGGAAUUAUUUGCCCUAGAAAAAAUAAAUUAUGCAUUCAAAACAGCCUAUAAAACCACUCUGAAUUGCAUAGUAAGUUCGGUGUUACGUACAGUAAGCAGUGAAUUUUAGUUUAAUUACUAGUCGCCAUCUGCUAGGAACAUGCUGAGGCAAUAAAUGCAAAGCCACAACAUUUGCCAACACGUGCAUUACUGUAUUUUCCAUUCUAUAAAUCACACCUUUGUAUAAGUCGCACCUCCCUUAAAACGGCAGUUUUUCUGGAAAAAAAGUAUAUAAGACUCACCUGCUUAUUCGGUAAGCAAUUAAAAAAAAUUACACUGGUGUUUCACUUCGUGAAUGUGGGUCACAGGCAAGCGUGUGGGUGCUAUUCUUAUACAAGGUCUGUUAGAAAAGAAUCCGACCUUUGGCCGAAGAAAAAAACUGGCAUAACUGAAGCGCUGGAAACCUAAUCACCCUCAAAGUAGUCUCCUUGGGACUCCACACACUUCUCGCCGGCGGUGCAGCCAUUGUUGGAAGCAUUCCGAGAAGGCCUCUUUCGGAAUGGAGUUUAGCUCGGCUGUCGUUGCAGCCAUAAUGUCCUCUCUUGUCUGAAAUCGCACUCCUUUCAAUGGCCUCUUGAUUUUGGGAAACAGCCAGAAGUCGCAGGGGGCCAUACCAGGAGAGUAAGGAGCCUGUUGAACUACUGGAGUCUGGUUUUUUGCCAAAAAAGUGAAUCAAGUGCGAGGAAUGUGCAGGAGCAUUGUCGUGAUGGAUGCGCCAAUUUCCUGUUGACAACUCCGGUCUCUUGCGCCGCACAACAUCACGUAGGUGAUGGAGGACAUCCCUGUAGUACUCGUUGGCGAUUGUUUGACCCUGUGGUGUGUACUCGUGACCACACCGCGGGAGUCAGCAAAAAGCAGUCGGCAUCACUUUGACGUUGCUACGCACUUGGCGGACCUUCUUUGGUCUUGGUGAUGUGGAAUGCUUCCAGUGACGACUGGGAUUUGGUUUAUGUGUCGUACCUGUACACCCACGUUUUGUCACCAGUGAUUAUGGUAUUCAUGAAGUUGGGGUCACUGUUUGUUGAAUCCAGCAUGUCCUGUGAGACUUCAACACGAAGUUGCUUUUGCUCCACCGUGAGCAGCUUCGGCAUGAAUUUCACCGCAAUUCUCUUCAUGGCCAAAUCUUACGUCAUAAUGAAAUGUGCAGAGAAAGUGCUGACGCCCACCUCUUCCGCAAUUUCUCGGAUAGUCACACGACGGUCCCGUAUCACCACAGCGUUCAAUUCGGCAAUGACCUGGUCAUUUCGGCAUGUUGAUGGCCGACCGGAGCGUGGCUCGCUCUCCACCGAUGUGCGGCAGUCAUUAAAUCGGUUGUACCACUCCUUAAUCUGUGUGCUGUUCAUAGCAUCGUCACCAAAAGCCGUCUGAAUCUUCCGAAUGGUUUCCACUAGGCGGUCGCCCAGUUUCUGGCAAAAUUUGAUGCAGUAGCACUGCUGCAGUCGCUCUGUCAUUUUCCUUGCAAUAAAGAAACCAACGAGAGCACUGCGCACUACCUCACUCAAACGCUGUGUCCCAGCGACUGACGCUAUCGGCAAUAACAUUGUCCACGUGCGCCGUAUGCUGGAUGUGCGAGUGAAAGCGUGCGACGGUGAGCCGAAUCGCGCACAAAGGAGGCAAGCGGGAGGGAGGGAGGGUGGCUUGUACUCGGGUAGCAACUGCGUAGUUUGGCGCAGCAGUGCGUGCCGUAUCUUCAAAGCGAUCUGCAGAUGCGACCACUUCGGAGUCUGUCAACUCUCGGUCAGCAUGCCGCUACUUAUGUUGUUGCUCCAUCCUUCUCGCACCGCGCUCGGCAACUUGAUCACGAGAAGGGUACCUCCAUAGUGCACACACAACCCGUAGCAACUGCCAGAGGAGAUCAACCCAGCGUGCUUUGCAUGGCCAUAGCAUCCAGCAGUUUUUUAGAAAAAACAAAACGUACGAGGUGUGUUCACAAAGAAACCAAACUUUUGCUAUAACACCUUUACUGCCUAUGGUACAACAUUUUAAGUGCUGUCCCCUUCAAAGUAGUCCCCUCUACUGGCAAUGCACUCCUUCCCAUCUUUUCUUCCAUUUUUGGAAAGCCUUCUGGAACGCACUUUCUGGAAUGGCGCACAGGUCUCUUCUCGCAUUGACCUAGAUCUCCUCUACGGUUUGGAAACGACAUCCUUUCAAGGUGGUUUUCAGCUUAGGGAAUAGAAAAAAAGUCUGCUGGGGCUAGGUCCGGAGAAUAUGGUGGGUGAGGCACAACAGGAGCGUGGUGUUUCGCUAAGUAGCUGCGGACAAGGAGCGACGCGUGAGCUGGGGCAUUGUCAUGAUGCAACAGCCAAGCCCGGUUUUCCCACAAUUCAGGCCUCUUAAAACAGAAUCUCUCAAACGUGUUAGGAUUCUCUGGUAAACUUCUUUGUUUGCUGUCCGAUCAUGUGGCACAAAUUCUUGAUGGACAAUGCCUCUGCAGUCAAAAAAGACAACCAACAUCACCUUCAUUUUUGACCGACUCAUGCAUGCUUUUUUUGGACAUGGAGAACCUUUGGCCACCCACUACGAUGAACUGCACUUUCGUUUCAACAUCAUAGCCAUAAAACCAUGUCUCAUUGCCUGUUAUCAUGUUCUUAAGAAAGUUUUCAUCGUCAUUGGCAGCGGCGAGCAGUUCCUGGUUGAUUUCAACACGGGUCUGCUUCUGUUCUUCAGUCAACAAACGCGGCACGAAUUUUGCACUGACACACGCAUCCCAAGUUUGUCACUCAAAAUUUCAUGACAUGAUCCUACGCUGAUACCCACUUCGUCAGUAACUUCUCAAACAGUCAAACGACGAUUUCCACGAAUCACAGUUCGAACUCUCUCCAUGUGGUCAUCAUCUGUGGAUGUGGAAGGUCGUCCAGGCUUGGGAUCAUCACCGACCAACAUUCUUCCGUCUUCAAAAUGGUUGAACCAAUCAUAGCACUGCGUGCGACUCGUACAGUCCUCCCCAUAUGCUUGGCUAAGCAACUGAAAUGUCUCUGUGAACGUUUUGCCAAGUUUGUAGCAGAAUUUCACACACACACGCUGUUCUUCUGAUUCCUUCAUUGUCAGUUUGGCACCAAUUCGAAGAACAGCUUGUUCAUGUGCUCGCUUCAGCGGCUGUAGACCCGCCCCAGUGGCUCAGUCAGCUAAGGCGUUGCGCUGCUGAGCACGAGAUCGCGGGAUCGAAUCCCAGCCGCGGCAGCCGCAUUUCGAUAGAGGCGAAAUGCAAAAGCGUCCAUGUGCUUGCGUUGUAGUGCACGUUAAAGAACAUCAGGUGGUCAAAAUUAAUCCGGAGCCCUCCACUAUGGCGUGCCUCAUAAUCAGAAUUGGUUUUGGCACGUAAAACCCCAGAAUCAAUCAAAUCAAAUUAGCGGCUGUAGCUUGCCAACUAACAGUCAGAGCGAAGCGCGGCAAAUAGCAGCUCGUUGUCUGAACCUGCCGCUACAUGCGCUCAGUAGCCGCAGCGCGCUCCCUCUGCCGGUUGGCGCACUAUUUCAAAAGUUCAGUUUCUUUUUGAACACACCUCGUAUGUAAGUUUAUGAGGCGCACCGACGAAAAAUUCGGGGAAAAAACUCUGCUUAUACUCUGGAAAAUACGGUACCUGCCGCUAUAUGUGCUCAGUAGCCGCAGCGCGCUCCCUCUGCCGGUUGGCGCACUAUUUCAAAAGUUCAGUUUCUUUUUGAACACACCUCGUAUGUAAGUUUAUGAGGCGCACCGACGAAAAAUUCGGGGAAAAAACUCUGCUUAUACUCUGGAAAAUACGGUACCUGCCGCUACAUGUGCUCAGUAGCCGCAGCGUGCUCCCUCUGCCGGUUCGCGCACUAUUUCAAAAGUGUGGUUUCUUUUUGAACACACCUAGUAUGUAAGUCUAUGAGGCGCACCAACGAAAAAUUCAGGGAAAAAACUCGGCUUAUACCCUGGAAAAUACGGUAGUGCCUCACACCCAAUUUUUGUUUGCCAGCGAUUGCUGUGCGACACCACUCAGAUUAUUAUUCAGUUUAGACUUGCGACAUCAUAGGCAUUGAGGAGAGGUGGUACUGACGAUGUACAUUAGAAAGAAGCAGGCAGGAGAAACUACAAAUGUAGGUAGUGCUGUCUUGCAACUAAAUCUUGGUUCACAUCACAUGCGCUCACAAAAAUUUGUAACAUGCAGGAACUAGAUGAAGUCAGAAAACCAAAUUUUAAAUAGAGACAUUCCUAGACGGAGAAUUUACAUGUGAAUAGACUUCUGUGCUAUGAAGAUGUUACUGUACUGAUACCUGGAAUAGUUGCUAAAUGAGACUUGAGAAAGCAUCUUGCAUUCUCGUGACUUGUUUGCAUACUACAGUUACUUUCUUUCUGUUAACAGCAAAAGUGUUGUGAAUAGAUAGGACACUAUUCCAACACAGGGCUCUAUAAGCAAUGUUGCAGAAUCUGGGGUGGGAUGAGCAAUUUUUACUGUAGGAAAAUGCCUCGGUAGGUGCUUGAACAGUGAGGUGUAGAAGUAAAGAAACCAGUGGAAUGGUUAACGAGUCCACAAAAAUGCACAGUAGGGUAAUUUCUAUUGAACUUCAGAAAUGCUAAACUAACAUGAAAGACUUGAACAAAAUGAAGAUGUAAGACGCACAGCACUUGUGUGUCUUGCAUAUUUUUUUAUCAGUGCCUUUCGUGCUGCUUUACCAUUGCUAGUGUUGAACCAACAUGUGCAAGCUUCCAUCAUGGCCAAUUCUAUUGUAUACAGUUGAUCGGCCUGUUCAACAAGUGUUCAGUAAUACUCUGCAGGGGUCACUCGACCAGCUAGCAGAAAAUUCCUACAGAAUCAUGUGUGAUCUUUAACACGUUUUAUCAUUGGGUUUUACAUGCACUCAAGAAGAGCUACUGAUGCGAGGACAUUUAGCCUCAUAGUAUGCAUUGUCGAAAUUGGCAUGAAUGGCGUAAAGAUAUCAGAUGAAGCUGUAAUUCGAGCUGAUUUCCAUGUUUAUUUUGCUUACUGCUUUGCAUGGUAAUGCUGCUUCAUUGUGCAGAUGCCCUAGCUGAAAUUGCAAAGAAUCGUGAAGUGAAGAAAUAAGUAUUUGAUUAACGUAGUGCUUCUGUUUGCGAGUAUAUCUGUGCAAAAGCUUUUCUGUAUUACUGGUUAUGUUUUGUUCCCCCCUACGUAAUGCCUUUAUGGCGAUGUAAAUACUCUGUAAAUAAAUAAAUAAAUAAAUGCUACGGGAGGUUGGUCCUAAAUGAAAUGGCAGGAGGAAUGGUAAAGUGCAACAUGUUUCCCUCUUUAUAAUUUAAAAAAUAUUUCGCAGAAGUGCACUUCUUCUGCGAAGUUAAAAUAGUUAACAACAGGUAACAACAAAAAUAUACGAUGUUGUUGCUCCACAAUUGUUUAUCUGUACCGCCCCCCUCACGCAAUACUCCUUCUGGAGCCUGUGAGGUACAUGAAAUAAAUAAAUAAAAAUAUAGUUAAAAUGCAAGUCUUGCAUUUUAACUAUGUCUGCAUUCACUGAUAUGCAAUCAGAGUUUAGAAAAAAACUACAUCAGCCCUAAAAAGUGUCGAAAUUUACUUCACGAUUUCAGCUUGCGAUGCAUUCCAAGGCAUGCAUUACUGGCUGGCAUCAUUACUGCAUUAAUGCCGUAAUGAAAGCCACGAAGUGCCAGCUGGAAUGAGCACCUUUGACUUGCUGUUGCUUUGAUACUGUCAAUAAAUGAGGGGGUCCCAUGAAUAUUAUGUUAUUUGUAGCGCCAGUCGAGGCCUCUGGGGCUCCUGGUCUGACAAGAGACUAAUAUCCCUAAAGGCGAACGCGGCACAAUAAGCAGCAAAAUAAAUGCAACCAGUGAGCGAUACGGCCAGGCCGCAGCAGCCAGCUGCGAGGCACCCGCCAUAUUGCCAGCCGUCAAGGAGGAGGAAAAAAAAAACAACCUGUUUCCGCUUUCUGUGCAAGUCUCGCCAUUUGUCGAAUUCCGCGAUAAGUUCCAUGCGCUUCCGCUGCUUAUUUUUGUACCACUGUGGAAGGUACAGUUUCUCUUAUCUAAAGCUGGUUCUUUAUUCUAUGACUAGACUCUCUAUCGUUCUCCUCAGCAUUCGCCGUUUCGGCAUCGUGUAGGCCUACUGUCAGUUAUGGCUUUUAAGCAAGAGCGUGAGUGGAAAAAGGUAACUGGCCGAUCCCCCCCUGCCUCCUACUGAAACAGAUAACUUGAACUGGGGACGUAUUCUCGGACGAUCGCUUUCGGCGAUAUCACUUUCAGUGUGCGCUUAUUGGCUCAUUGACCAAACUGGAUGAGCUGAUUAGUUGGCUCAGCACUGCGUCACGCUAAGGCAAUAGUAUCUCUGAAAGUCAUCAUCGUCCAAGAAUAUGUCAACUGAACGAACUUCUCAAGUGAACGAUCUUUUUUGCUGAAUGUAGGAACUUUGUAUUGAGGUUCUACUGUUUUGUUAAUGUGCUCUGAACAGCAGAGCAAUUUUUUUUUGCCUGAGAGAACUGUGAUCGUUGAGCUUUAGUGGAAUCUUUUUCAUGAAGAAAAUGGUGAGAAUUCUGUCUUGUGUCACAACAGCAUGCGCUGUGGCACAUCUAUCCAAAACAACUGGAGAAUGCCAGUCUGCUCAAAUCAAAAGCUUCGUGGUAUGGUUGGUGGAAGCAUGAAUUUAUUGGUUUCAUCACAGGUAGCCUAAUCAAGAUUUAAAGUUAUGACAACUCUUCACUGAGCUGUUUCACAAAAACCACCGAUUGCAGUGCCACACAUGUGGAAUCAAGGCCAAUACAAUUGCACUGUAAAGCUUGCCCCCCCCCCCCCCCCUCCUUUCUUGAGAGGGACAUUAUUGCUGCCCAUUUUAAAGGGCCCCUCACCAAGUCUGGCCAUUUUGAGCUAACAAGCACAGUGCAUAGGAAGCACGCUAACGAUAGUGCCUGCAACGUAUUACACUGCUAUGCGCCAAGAAAAGAGCUGAAAUUUCAAAUCAAAUGCUAUGCGCCCUUCUCGCGAGCGCCGCGCUCCCAGCCAGAAAGUCGACGUCAAUCACACAAGUGCGCCUACGUAAAUUGCUUCGAGAAUUAUUCAAGGCAACAUCGGUUAUUUGUUUUAUCUGUUGCUUCAAUAGACGAAUUGAAGUUUGCAGAAAUAAUAAAACUUACAAAAUGAAUGUCUGCGUGUUUUUUGUUUUACUUCAUACCGCAGCAAGAGACAUGCACUUCAGUUUCGUCUGCUUGUUUCCCGUCAUGCUGUCGCAUGCGCAGAGUGCGAAACUCAUUUUCUACCGGGUUCCAGUGAGCAAUUGUGCUCUUUGAUCUGCUUGCGUCUGCCUCAGUAUUGUGGGCGCUGACUUAUACCGCUAAUCAGGUGGCCUCGUGCAGAGCGUGCAAAAUUGUGCGCUGCUCUAAACGAGACAAACAGAACAGCUCGCGAGUGAGAUCGUCACCGGAUGUGCACUACUUGGCACAAAUGCGAGAGAGAAAAAAUAAGAAGGUGGGGCUCAUGACAUAUCUGUCGCGCGACCCUCCGGCUCUGGUAUGGGAGAACACAGGGAAGGAAUUUCGCUUGCAGAGGCUAGACUGGGGCAAAUAGAGAGUGUGUCUAUGUUGGCGGUGACGCUCGCAUCCUGAAAUCAUGGGUUCAUGGUACUUAAAAUAUUUCUAUCUCUGUUAUUAAUGAACUAAUUAGAAAAAUCCUUGUGAUAGAACGUUCCUUAGAGGGCACGUAACAACUUCCAGCAUAUGACCAAAAUUUGCUAUGGUGAGGGGCCCUUUAAGGUUAUUCAGCGCUCCUAAUGCUGAAGCAUAAGCAUAUGUCUCGGAUUGCCAGCAAUAGACCGAUCCCACCGCCCGAUCUGCGCAUGCGUCGGUUUUCCGGAAGUAGCACUGCCACCAUCUUGGUUCGGUCAACCAUACCACCGCAGUCCGCGCUCAUUGAGUACUGCACACGAGCUUCCCAGACUUCUCUGCAACUCCACCACCGAGAAACAUUCGUCAUGUAUUUUAAGAAAUACAUUAGCUGUUCAUUGCAGCAUGCGAGGCGAACACUGAAAAGUGCCUGCUGCUCUUUCAUUUCGGUUGUUACCCGCUGAUUACGCGUUGAGUAUCGUAUUUGUUCGAGCUUUGUAUGUAGUACAUGCUGAUGUACGCGGUCGUUUUAUGUUACUAUUGUUGCUCACGUGCAUCUCGGUGACUGCAACGUUAUGUUUGCUUAGCGGCAGACAUAAUAGGAUUUGUAUACCUGUUGGAAACGGGUUUGAAAUUUGGUGCCGAAACUUUCGUGCCCUAAUGAUGCUUACCUGCAUGGGUUUCGCGCACGACUUGCAGACUUCGGUAACAGCGAUAUCUAGAAGUUAAGUAAGCUAGGCGGCGUUUUAACAUGAAAACGCUGAUAGCCAAUCAAUAGCUAAUCGAUCAAUAAUCAAUAAAUUCCGGAAAAUUCUGGGGAUGACUUGGUAGUGCUUAGCCUAGGUCAAAUACGUAGCCAAUACGUUGCAAUAGCCAAACAAUAGCUAAUCGAUAAUCUCUAUCAAUAAUCAAUAAACUCUGGAAAAUGCUGGGCUUGGUAGGGCUUAACUUAGCCCAAAUAUGUGGCCAAUACCUGGCGAUAGCCAAUCAAUAGCUAAUCAAUGAUCAAUCAAUAAUUGAUCAAUUUCGGGAAAUGCUGGGGAUGACUUUGGUAGUGCUUAGCCUAGCCCAAAAGCCAGGACUAGCUAGGUGCCCAUCAGCUCCGCUGUCUCUUUAGCAUUUUGCCUCCAGUGCAAGCUACGCUAAUUUUUUAUUUGCAUUCGAACGAAUGGUACGCUUGCUGCUUCCUAAACUCCGACUGUGUGGCGUGAGGCGAGCGUCCUAUCUUUUGCGCACGUGAAUACACGCUGCUCUCCAGUAUGAGCAGCUGUGAUAUCCUUUCAUCAGUGAUUCGCAGUGGUUGAUUAAGCCGUUUAAGACAGUAUCAUUGCUGUCGCUAGCGAUGGCAGAGACCUCUUGCUCAUGUGCGGGUGGCACAGUUGAGCUCCCGGGAAGUUCAGGCAGG